AGUGUCUGGGAAACUGCCUGAUGGAGGGGGAAAACUACUGGAAACGGUAGCUAAUACCGCAUAACCUCACAAGACCAAAGAGGGGGACCUUCGCGCCUCUUGCCAUCAAAUGUGCCCAGAUGGGAUUAGCUAGUAGGUGGGGUAACGGCUCACCUAGGCGACGAUCCCUAGCUGGUCUGAGAGGAUGACCAGCCACACUGGAACUGACACACGGUCCACACUCCUACGGGAGGCAGCAGUGGGGAAUAUUGCACAAUGGGCGCAAGCCUGAUGCAGCCAUGCCGCGUGUAUGAAGAAGGUCUUUUUUUUGUUAAGUACUUUCAGCGGGGAGGAGGGCGGAGAGGUUAAUAACCUCAGCUAUUGACGUUACCCGCAAAAGAAGCACCGGCUAACUCCGUGCCAGCAGCCGCGGUAAUACGGAGGGUGCAAGCGUUAAUCGGAAUUACUGGGCGUAAAGCGCACGCGCGCGGUCUGUCAAGUCGGAUGUGAAAUCCCCGGUCUCAACCUGGGCACUGCAUUCGAAACUGGCAGGCUAGAGUCUUGUAGAGGGGGGCAGAAUUCCAGGUGUAGCGGUGAAAUGCGUAUAUAUCUGGAGGAAUACCGGUGGCGAAGCGGCCCCCUGGACAAACACUGACUCUCAGGUGCGAAAGCGUGGGGAACAAACAGGAUUAGAUACCCUGGUAGUCCACGCCGUAAACUAUGUC
rnacentral:rRNA from 1 species